rnacentral:lncRNA from 1 species
UAUACAAAACGAUCCACGGAGGUUUCGGAUCGGGCGGGUUAUUCGACUUCAUCCAGGAAAAAAGGCAGUUGCCCGAAGUGCCCUUAGACCGACCGAAGAAGAAGAUCUACAAUCUCUCCUCGCAUAUGUUGCCGACCAAAACACCCAUCCCCUCAGCAAUGCUGAUUUGAGAGGAUUACACCUACCUCACGACGAUUGCCUUGGUGUCUCGGCCGCAUCGCCCAAUUUCAAUUGUCCAAAGGAUUUAAUCGACAAUGGAGCCGGCGGAUAUCUGUUUAUCUCGGCAUUCAAAAGAAUGGAAAAUGGGAUAGACAAGUUGCACUCUUUUCAUACCCCCUGAUCGGAUUCGGAGGAAAAGGAAGGAAAACGAUGCCACCUUUGGGAUGGAUCAAUUUACCAAUAACUACUGGGGGAAUGAACCCCACCAGACACCGUUAUAUGGAGGAUUUUAUUGUUGGUAGAUUGCACCUCGACCUUUAUAAUUGCCAUCUUGGGGCGACCAAAUUUUAGGAGGGAUUCAAGGCGAUCACCUCGACCUUCACCUAAGCUAAGUUUCCACCCCAAACUGGGAAUAGGCGGAACUUAAGGGCGAUCAGAAGUGGCAAGGCCGCGGGCAAUGCUUCAUUUCAGCCAUGAAGGGAGACCUCUUCAGUUCCGCCCAUCCAAUAACAAUUACAGAAACAUGGGCGCGACACAGACGGUACUGAGAGAUAAGGUGGAACAACUUUACCCUGAAGACCCCAGAGAAACCAUAACACCAAGCCUCUUGAAGAAAUCGUCCCCAUCUCCCAAACAUCCAGAAUUACCCUGAUCGCCAACAUGAUCGGCACGGAACUUACCGAUGACGAUUAGUUUCGCCUUAAUAAAUUUCUUGAAAGAGCACUCUGACGUAUUCGCCUGGUCAUAAGAGACGUUCCUGGCCCAUUGAUCCUGAAAUCGCCAUGCAUAAGAUGUUCACCAACCCGGAAACAUUCUCCAGUUCGCCAAAGCGAAGGAAGUUCCUGAAAUGCCUGAAAGUCAUCGAAGACGAAGUAAAUAAGCUCAUCAGAGCGUAACGUCGUCCGAGAAGCCCAUAUCCGGAUUGGCUCGCCCAAGGUCGUAGUCGCCCCCCCAAAAGGAGAGAAAAGUAGAAGUAUGAGUCGAUUUCACCGACCUCAACAAGGCUUGGCCAAAAGACAGGUUUUUCCUUUGCCCAAAAUCGACUUAAUAGUCGACGCCACCUCCAAGCACGAGCUCUGAGUUUUAUGGACGCUUCUCGGGAUAUCACCAGAUCCAAAAUGUAUCCUCUUGACAUGAGAAAACUUCUUUUAUCACAGAACAGGGGCUCUAUAUUUAUUACAAAGUCAUGUCAUUCGGUUGAAAAAACGCUGGGGCCGACGUACAAAGGUGGUCCAAUAAGAUUUCAAGAACCAAAGGGAAGACCAUGGAAGUGUUACAUAGAUGAUAUGCUGCGUCAAAAGUCUCCGAUCAUCCGAUCACAUUGCCACCUUAAAGAAGCAUUUAGCAUCCUGCGUCGCCAUCGGAAUGAUGUUGAAUCCCUCCAAAAUGAUCUUUGGAGUGUCAUCCGAGAAAUUUUUAGGAUUUCUGGUCACCAAGCGUAGACUUGAGUAAACCAGGAUCAGAUUCAAGGCCCUAACCGCGAAGAGCUCACCUAAAAAGAUCGAGAAGUACAGCAGCUGACGGCGAGUAGCCGCCAUACAACAGAUUGUCUCCAAAUCUGCGGACAAGUGCCUACCAUUCUUUGCCAUCUUGAGCAAAAAAACUAGACCUUCCAAUGGAUAUGCGGAAUAUGAAAAUGCCGUUUCCAACAGCUGACAAGAGGAUCUCGGUCUCCACCUUUACUAACAGUCCCCACCCACCGGCGAGAUUCUUUACGUAUAUUAUCUAUCUCGCUGCCGCAAGUGAGUGUGUGCCAUCCGAGAAGAAGAUCCGGUCCAAAGAAAAUUAUCUACGUUAGAAAGUCUUAAUGGGUGCAGAGAGGCCAGAUAUUCGAAGAUUGAAACAAGCUCGGCCUACACCUUAAGGGAUCGCCGCCAGAAAAACUUCGUCAUAUUUACUUUCAAGCCAUCCCAUUAUAGUACUGACUGAUCAACCCACUAAAGCAUAUUCUUCAGCGACCCAGACAAUCGGGUCGACUCAUCCUUAAAUUGGUCUACGAGCUAAGUGAGUUCACAUUGAAUACAGGCCUGAAGGAUGGCAAUAAAAAGCCCCGGGCCUGGUGAUUUCAUUGUCGAAUCUACCCAUGAAGACACUCCACAAACCAGAAACAGUUCCCCUCCUGAAAUGGAACUUCCGUAAGACCAAACCUCAGAAAAAGACCUCGCCCAUGGACAUUAUUCGUCGAUGGCUAUUCUAACCAGCCGGUUGUUGGUGCAGGGCCGUCAUACAAAACUCCAUCAGGCGAAACUAAUGGAGUACGCCAAUAAAAAAUGGGAUUUAAAGCCACUAACAAUGAAGCGAGAGUACGAAGACCUCCUCGCCGGACUAAGAGUAGCAAUGGAGUUAGGGCCAAAAUCUUUGGAAAAUCUUCAGUGACUCCAAACUGGUAAGUAAACCCAGGUCCAAGGGGAUACCUCGCCAAGGACGGCAAGAUGAUGGCUUAUUUGGGCGAAGGGUAAAGGCUGCGUUCGCAAAAGAUCAAGGAGUUUGUUUAAAAUCCACCAGAGUCCCAGAGAGGAUAAAUAACAGGCAGGACGCCUUAGCUAAUCUGGUAUCAACUUUUGAGGUUUUAUUUCAACAGGUGUCUACCUCUAGAAUUUUAUUAGCUAGCCCAAAGCAUUGGGGUGGUCGCCAAUCAAAUCCUCCAAACAGAAGAAAAAUCCGCGUGCGAUGGACGAGAUUAUUGCCUUAUCUCCGAGAGGGAUCCUGCCAAAAAUAAGCUCCAAGCUCGCCGUCUCCAAUACAGAUCCGCAGUUUUGCAUUUUCAAAGCAUGGCUAUACAAAAGGUUUUUUCAGGACACUUUUGAAAAUGUCUCCGACCAAAAGCAGGCAGGAAUAUAUUUUACGAGAAAUACACGAAGGCAUCUGCGGGAAAAAAUCUUGAGCAAGGUCAUUGGCGAGGCAAACCAUUCGCAAGGAUAUUUUUGGCCGACCAUAGAACGAGAUGCAACACAUAUAUAGGAGAUGCGACAUAAGUGUCAGAGUCAGAGGUUUGCCCACGUCAACCGUCUCCCUCACACAGCGAUGGUACCGAUGUACAAGCCCUGGCAAGAAAGUUUGGAUCGUCGCCCAUAGACUACUUUACUAAAUGGAUAGGAGCUCAGCCUCCGCCAAGAUUACCGAGAAAGAAUACCCAGGAUUUCGUUUAUGGAAGCACCUUGUUUGCAGAUCGGGAGUCCCAAAGGUUAUCCAUUUCGGACAAAUGCCACAAGUUUAAGUUAUUCUGCUCGGAUCUCGCCAUCUCCCAUCAUUCUCCUCGCACGGUUAUCUUCAGGCUAUGGGCAAGUUGAAGUGAAGUAACCAAUCAUACCAUGCCUCAGGAAUUUGAAGGCCGAGGUUAGAAAGGUCGAAAAGCGAUAUGGGCGGAAGGACUAUUGCCAAGCAUACUUUGGGUUUAUCAUACUACUCGCCGUGGAUUCUACGGGCGAAAACUCCAUCUCCAUUGUAUUUGGUACUGAAGAGGUCAUACCAGUAGAAAUAGGUAUGGCCAAAGUUUCAGGACUUCGAAUUGCGACAAAGAAAGUUAGAGGCCGAGCUCAGGACUCAACCGGGAUCUCCUCGAGUGAGAGAAAAGAGAAAAGGCCGAAACUACACCAAGCAGCUUACAAAUGGCCAAGUCGCCAAAUACUACAAUCAAAUGGUUCAAAACACGACGUUCCGUCUGGGAACCUGGUCUUGCGGGCGGGUAACCACUGUCAAAACUAAAGAACCAAAUGCAGGAAGCUAGGCCAAAACGUGGAAGGUUCCUUACAAAGCGUCAAGGUCUCCAGCCAGGGAUUACUGGUUAGAAGAUCCAAACGAAAAGGCACUUUUACAUCCGGAAUGCCGAGCCAUUUGAAGAAAUACUAUCAAUAAAAUGACCGCCAUUGAAACGCUCCAUUCACGCACCUUAAUAAUUUUAUGAUUUGUGAUUUUUGAACAAUUGGUGCGAUUCGCCAUUGGAUUUAUCCCAUGUGUAUACAAAAGAUUGAUGUCGCCAAUAUUAAGUCGCCAAUCCAUUCGGAAUGACAUCUUGCUCGCCUCUAUUGAGGUCGCCAAUAUUGAGAUCGCCAAGGCAAAACAAAAUGACAACGGAAUCUUGAUCCGCGUAGUUAUUGAAGUCGCCCAAUAUUGUUUUGAGUUAUUGAGAUUUCACCACAGACUCAUGAUCACCAAUUAACACAAACAAUAUACCCAAAACGGGGAGCCAAAGAUUUUUUUAUUUCAAUGAAUAAAAAUUACAUUCUCAAAAAAAAACACAUUUUACACCUCGAGGCAAUUUAUCUUUAAUUACCACCUCAUUCUCGCCCGUUUUUUCCUUUCAUUCUCCUCAUUGGCCUCGUCUUGCUCUGCCAUCAAUCUUGAUCAACCACAGUGCCUUCAAGGUCAUAGCAGGUCGGGAUGAUGUCGGCGAAGUUGCACCUUUUGCAAGAAGUUAACCCCUCGCCAAAGUAUUGGAGGCGGAAUCUUCACUGCCACCAUGAACCCGACACGACAACUUCCUUGGCUUUAUUCAAAACUUCCUCAGCUCGUUCAACCAACACUCCCGACCCUCCUCGAACUUGUCGGACAGCGAAUCUCGAUUGCUCUUUGCCUUGGCAGCCGUCAUUGGCCUGCGGCUCACGAUCCACGGACUUCAGGCCAAUUGUUGUUCCGAGGUCGGCGAUAACCUUCUAGAGCAAGCAUCUCAGUUUCCAUUGAAGCAGCUCGCCCUCUUUAGAAUGCCUGCUCCGCUCAACCUCCCUGCCUAUGACGUCCAAGACGACCGAGUACCAACGCUUUAUAAGAAAAUAAACCUUUUAUACCCAGAGCAAAUAAAUUCGCUAAGAAAAUUGAAAGUUCCCCAAAAAAGUCCUGACCGAUCACGUGAAAGAGCUUCGUCGCCGUUUAUUCCAAGGUGAGCUUCUCCACCUCUCCUUGUCGGCUGGUGAAUCACCCCCCGCAGCAAUUCUUGGCCACUGACUGGCUGCCCACCAUAGAGCCAUGGGGCCCCAGGACGUGCCGAGAUUAGCAGGAACCUUCCCCAGGACAGUAGAUGCGGUGGCUGGAAAUGGUCGGGGCUUUGCCUUACGAGGUCGCCUUCUUCUUGCCCCAGGGCCGAUUCAACUCCUUUUCCUUUGGUCGUCAUCGGCUUCCCCUUUUUGCUGGGCGAGCUGGUGAUGCCCCUCUCCGGCCCGCUUCUCGCCAAUUACUACUCCCUUUGCCCGGAACGGGAAGUCCUCGAGCUCCGCACACCAGCCCCGUUCCCUAUCUUUCGCCAAUCUUCUUAAAGCUAACCCUCUUCGACAUAGCUGCCAACAACUACGAAUCAAUAAGAAAAAUAAUCAUCCGCUAGAAAAAAGGAGCAAUACCAUCCGAUUCAAGUUCGACGGUAGUCUCGAUCCGAACCAAGAUUCCGACGAUGAAUUCGAGAUCGGAGAUUCGAAAAACGAUCUGUAUAGGAUCCAGAACCUUUUCCCCUGACCCCUCAAAAGGGUCAGAUCGUGAUGUGAGGUAACCCUCCUAGAUUUGUUCGAAUUAUCCCUAUUACCUCAAUUGAAUCGUCUCGGAAGGGCUUGCUCGCUAAGAGCUUGUUCAUGGGGAUUUUGCACUCACCCACGUCGCUCGAGGAGCUCGGAGCUUUCCCCUCAGAAGAUUGUCGCCCGUCCGUCUCGACGCCCUAGAAACCAACGGGAGGAGAAAUCUCGGUGAAUGAUUUUGGAGUCCAACAGCACGGGUACUGAAAAACGUCCCGACUUCUUCUUCGCUACCGAACCGAAAAAAUCCUUCAAAAACUUUCAUUUUCGUCGCCGUAAAGUCGAGGUGGAUUAAUUGUAGUGCUUCUUUACACAAAGAAUAAAACAUUAGCACACCCUAGCAUUCAAUAGUAAACAAAACAGGGUAGAAAGAUAAGAGCUACUGACCUGGAAUUCCCACAUCCUCGAACUCUUUUGUGGUGCCCUCCCGAGACGUUCCUGCGGGAAUCUCCCAUUAUCAUCGCCGGAGACGAAGAAGAACUUGCUCUAUACCACCCAUUAACAUUCUGGGUAUCCUCCGACAGAACCUUCUUGUUCCUCGCCUUGAAGUAUAGGCCACCGUGUCCGGUUUAGGAUUACUAUUAGACUAAACACGUUUUCCUAAACUCGAAAGGGGAUGUUAUCUUUGUUAUAACCCGCCACAACGCCAUAGAGCAAGCCUGCUUCUCCACGCGUUGGGAACGAGCGGGGCCUGACAGAUAUUGUAGAAUUGAAGAAUUACCUAAUGUGGAGUGAAGGGGAAAAUUGAAGGCCAGCGGGGAACGCUGCCACUCCCGUAAAAAGCUACCUCGCCUGACUGGUAGAAGUAAUGGUCUCCCCUUCGUCGGGAAGCCUUAUCUGCAACCCCAUAAAGAAAAGAAUAGGUUUCCCUAAAGCGUUCACUCCUCUAGGGUCAAGGGGGUGAUUUUAGUGUUUUCCUCUAUUGAGGGAUUAAUGGCUAUCAAAGGACUCCUCAGGUGAACCCUCCACGGGCGACGACGGCGAUUGAUUUACCCCAAACUCGUCAAUCCAUAAUAGGGGGAGCAUUCUCGUAAAUGUCGGAUAUCCACGAGGUAACGAAUCUAGUCGCCCGAUCUAGGUUUACGUCGAAUUACGGGACAUAAACUACAGAACAUAACUGUAGUCAGGAGAAAGUACUUACUGAAAGUGAAGAACGCUGGGCGAUGGCACGAGUAGGGCGAGGAGGAAAUAAAUGCGAGAGCAAUAGCUUGACAACAAUAGCAGAAAAGUACUAGUGAAGAGGGGACCCCCCAUAUAUAUACGGAAACACUGAGGGUUCAGAAGCCAUUCAAUGCAACGAUACUAUCAGCGCGUUCUGUCUCCCGAGGUAUAAUGUGCGUCUCCCCCGCCAAGGGCUUCAUAAUGCCGCUGGGGCCCUCAGGCCUGUGGUAUUAAUCACACUCCGUGUUUCCCGCCGAGGACAAUCAUUCACACUGCAACCUUCCUGGCCAUUCCGUGCCGCCGCUUCGCAUCAAUGCUCUAGCCCACGUGUCGUUUGUAGAGACACGUGCCGCUGUUGGAGAUGACUCCAAGAUUGUAACUAACUACUCGUAAUCCCUCCAUCCUCUCGGCAUUUUGAGUAGGGGGGGCUACUGAUGUGGGAUAUAAAUUCUCCAUCUCCACCGACUAAGGCAAGUUACGGUCGCCCUAGUACCAUCAUAGAACUUGUCGCCCAUGAUCUCCCCGAAGGUUGCUUUACUCCGAACCCUCUUGACCGAGGUAAAACGAGUCCAACGUUCAUCAUGGAAACCUCGCCAAGUUAUCUCCACUUGAGCUCGCCCGGAGCCAAGUGCUGUCUCCUCCCGCCCUGGGGAGGUAGAAUACUUGGCUUGAUCGAUCUCCACCA